UACAGAGGAGCCAAGCGUUGUCCGGAUUGACUGGGCGUAAAGCGCACGCAGGCGGUCUGGCGCGUGGGGUGUGAAAUCUGGCCGCUUAACGGCCAGGCGCCAUCCCAUACGGCCGGACUGGAGGGAUGCAGAGGUCGAUGGAAUUGCCGGUGUAGUGGUGAAAUUCGUAGAUAUUCGCAAGAACACCAGUGGCGAAGGCGGCUCACUGGCCCGGUACUGACGCUGAGGUGCGAAAGCGUGGGAGCAAACAGG
rnacentral:rRNA from 1 species